rnacentral:rRNA from 1 species
GACGAACGCUGGCGGCGUGCUUAACACAUGCAAGUCGAACGGAAAGGCCCUGCUUUUGUGGGGUGCUCGAGUGGCGAACGGGUGAGUAACACGUGAGUAACCUGCCCUUGACUUUGGGAUAACUUCAGGAAACUGGGGCUAAUACCGGAUAGGAGCUCCUGCUGCAUGGUGGGGGUUGGAAAGUUUCGGCGGUUGGGGAUGGACUCGCGGCUUAUCAGCUUGUUGGUGGGGUAGUGACUUACCAAGGCUUUGACGGGUAGCCGGCCUGAAAGGGUGACCGGCCACAUUGGGACUGAGAUACGGCCCAGACUCCUACGGGAGGCAGCAGUGGGGAAUAUUGCACAAUGGGCGGAAGCCUGAUGCAGCAACGCCGCGUGCGGGAUGACGGCCUUCGGGUUGUAAACCGCUUUCGCCUGUGACGAAGCGUGAGUGACGGUAAUGGGUAAAGAAGCACCGGCUAACUACGUG